UCAGGAGUGGGAACAGGCGGGAAUAUUCCAAACAAAUUGAACUAAUUUGUUUGGCUGGUCGGCACCGUCAGGAAGCUUGGAGGGUGAAGGACAGUCUGCAGUGCUCAACCUGCUGAGGAAUUCUUAGUGCCCAGGUUCACAGUCCUGAUGUGGCGGUUGGAGUUUGCAUCUGCCCGCAAGAUGUGUACCUGAAAGGCUCCUUGAAAAUCAAAGGAGACCAGAGUCGUGGUCGCCUCAGGAUGGCUAGCGGUGCAUGUGUGUGUCAAUGGGGCUACUACCCUGCCGACACACAGCUCAAAGGACUCCCUUCACAGCUUCAGGGAGAAAACAGAGACGCAAAUGCCUUCGUGACUUGCCAUAUAGUAAAAGGGGUUUCCAAUGUGAGAGUCAUCCGCUGCACGCAUCACAGUCAUCUCUCCCGUCCUGCCACUGUGACGCAUAUCUUCCUUGUGUUUCAUCAGCAGUCGCGCCUCAGGGUGUGUGGUGACGCAGAGGCUGUGUGGGCACCCUAAAUCCAGACUACCUGACCAGGUUCCUAGGAGUUCAGCUUGAGGGCAUCCCUCACUAUAAAAUAAUUUAUUCUGUUGAAACAUAAGGGACAAGAGUUAAAAAAAUACCAAAAGCUAGAAAGUCUCUGUGCAACACAUCAGUCUCAUACCCUGUAUUGAAACUACAUUAGUUAAAUGACAUUGUCCCUAUAAAAUAAAACAAAAAAAUAAAGUCAAAUUAAAUUGAAUUAAAUUUAAAAAAAAUAAGAUAAAAUAGAAUGAAAUAUUAAUUAAAAAAUAAAUAAAUCUAAAAUAUAUUUACAUUACUUAAGUAUAUUUAUACUUUAGCAAUUGCUUACUUCACUACUUACAAUGUUAACAUUACUAAUAUGACAAUGGCCAGACCACACUAUAAUGAGCAAGAACUGUCCUAUAAAGUCAAAUUAGUAAUGCUGUAUGAAUAUGUAUCUUCCUCCCACUUUCUCAGUGUGAAGCACUCAUUGUACCAUCCCACAUUAUCCUAGCGUUUUAGCACAAAGUAAGAAUCAUAAUACAAAGAAUGACCCAUGAAUUAAUUUGAUGCUAAACAGCUGAACCUGCAGUUUCCAUCCCUGAUUGUUUUCUCAAAACACCCUUAAACCACUCCCUCUGCUUAACCAUGAGUGUGACUUGUAAACACAUAAGUGUUCAUCUUUGGUUUUGCCACCAAAACAAACUUUUUUCAUUAUACAAUAAAUCUAAAACUAGAAAAUGUAGUGACACCACCACAAGGACAAAAACUGUAACCAUCAUAAAGUAUGUAAUUUCACAUUUGUGGGGCAGUUUUCACACAGUUGCAAGGCACGGAAGACAACAGCUAUGAUACAAACACAUUCUGACGGCAGCCUCAAAGGAAACACACAGGGUAGUUGGAGAUAUUGGGUUCAUUGUUGCUGUACAGCAGUGAUACUCAACUUGUGGCCCGUGGGCCAAAACUGGCCCGCAAUAGGAUGCCAUGUGGCCUAGCCAACCAUUUUCUUAUUCACAAUGAAAAUAAAUGA